AUGUCCUCCUGGCGGACGCUGAUCCCGGAGGCUGAGAAGUCGAGGUGGACGGCGCCGCAGGAGGCAGCGCCAUCCCAGCCGCAGGAUGCGCCGAGGGCGAGGCCACCAGUCCGGCAGCCGAGCCAAGGACGAGGCAGGAACCAGCGGCAUCCUCCUUGGACCACCGUGACGAGAGACAUGAACCAGCGGCGUCCUCCUUGGACCACCGCGACGAGAGACAGGAACCAGCGGCGUCCUCCUUGGACCACCGCGACGAGAGACAGGAACCAACGGCGUCCUCCUUGGACCCCCGCGACGAAAGGCAGGAACCAGCGGCGUCCUCCUUGGACCACCGCGACGAGAGACAGGAACCAGCGGCGUCCUCCUUGGACCACCGCGACGAGAGACAGGUGUAGGUGCGGCCGGAGCCGGGCCGCCGGGAACCGAUGCAGGCGCGGCCGGAGCCGAGCCGCCAGGAACCGAUGCAGGCGCGGCCGGAGCCGGGCCGCCAGGAACCGAUGCCGGUGCAGCGGGAGCUGCGACGGGAACGACCCCCUCCUGAAGGUCCGCCGGGACUGCGACGGGCGCGACCCCCUCCUGGAGGUCCGCCGGGACUGCGACGGGCGCGACCCCCUCCUGGAGGUCCGCCGGGACUGCGAUGGGCGCGACCCCCUCCUGGAGGUCCGCCGGGACUGCGACGGGCGCGACCCCCUCCUGGGGGUCCGCCGGGACUGCGACGGGCGCGACCCCCUCCUGGGGGUCCGCCGGAACUGCGGCUGGCGCGACCCCCUCCUGGAGGUCCGCCGGAGCUGCGGCUGGCGCGACCCCCUCCUGGAGGUGCGCCGGAACUGCGGCUGGCGCGACCUCCUCCUGGAGGUGCGCAGGAACUGCAGCUGGCGCGACCUCCUCCUGGAGGUGCGCAGGAACUGCAGCUGGCGCGACCUCCUCCUGGAGGUGCGCAGGAACUGCAGCAGGCGCGACCUCCUCCUGGAGGUGCGCAGGAACUGCAGCAGGCGCGACCUCCUCCUGGAGGUGCGCAGGAACUGCGGCUGGCGCGACCCCCUCCUGGAGGUCCGCCGGAGCUGCGGCUGGCGCGACCCCCUCCUGGAGGUGCGCAGGAACUGCAGCAGGCGCUGCCUCCUCCUGGAGGUGCGCAGGAACUGCAGCAGGCGCUGCCUCCUCCUGGAGGCCGGCGGGCGCUGCGGCUCCGAGGGUGACAGAGACUGGAACGACCUCUCUCGGGCCGACAGGAACGGGGCCUGGGGCGACCUCUACUUGGCCGACAGGAACGGAACCAGAGACAGGAACGCCCUCAACUUGGCCGACGGGAACGCCCUCAACUUGGCCGACGGGAACGCCCUCAACUUGGCCGACAGGGACAGGAACUGGAACGCCCUCAACUUGGCCGACAGGGACAGGAACUGGAACGACCUCAACUUGGCCGACAGGGACAGGAACUGGAACGACCUCAACUUGGCCGACAGGGACAGGAACUGGAACGACCUCAACUUGGCCGACAGGGACAGGAACUGGAACGACCUCAACUUGGCCGACAGGGACAGGAACUGGAACGACCUCGACGUGGCCGACAGGAACAGGAACGGCAUUUACUUGGCCGACAGGAACAGGAACGGCAUCUACUUGGCCGACAGGAACAGGAACGGCAUCUACUGGGCCGACAGAGACAGGAACGGCCGCAACAUGGCCGACAGAGACAGGAACGGCCGCAACAUGGCCGACAGGGACAGGAACGGCCUCAACAUGGCCGACAUGGACGGCCUCAACAUGGCCGACAGGGACGGCCUCGACAUGGCCGACAGGAACGGCCUCGACAUGGCCGACAGGAACGGCCUCGACAUGGCCGACAGGAACGGCCUCGACAUGGCCGACAGGAACGGCCUCGACAUGGCCGACAGGAACGGCCUCGACAUGGCCGACAGGAACGGCCUCGACAUGGCCGACAGGAACGGCCUCGACAUGGCCGACAGGAACGGCCUCGACAUGGCCGACAGGGACUGGAACGGCCUCAACAUGGCCGACAGGAACAGGAAAGGCCGCAACAUGGCCGACAGGAACGGCCGCAACAUGGCCGACAGGAACGGCCGCAACAUGGCCGACAGGAACGGCCGCAACAUGGCCGACAGGAACGGCCGCAACAUGGCCGACAGGAACGGCCGCAACAUGGCCGACAGGAACGAGAACGACCCCUAA
ensembl:lncRNA